UACGAAGGGGGCUAGCGUUGCUUGGAAUCACUGGGCGUAAAGGGUGCGUAGGCGGGUCUUUAAGUCAGGGGUGAAAUCCUGGAGCUCAACUCCAGAACUGCCUUUGAUACUGAAGAUCUUGAGUUCGGGAGAGGUGAGUGGAACUGCGAGUGUAGAGGUGAAAUUCGUAGAUAUUCGCAAGAACACCAGUGGCGAAGGCGGCUCACUGGCCCGGUACUGACGCUGAGGUGACGAAAGCGGUGGGGAGCAAACAGG
rnacentral:rRNA from 1 species